GACGAACGCUGGCGGCGUGCUUAACACAUGCAAGUCGAACGGACUUAUUUUGAAGAAGUUUUCGGAUGGAUUCGGAAUAAGUUAGUGGCGGACGGGUGAGUAACGCGUGGGUAACCUACCCUUUUCAUGGGGACAACAGCUGGAAACGGCUGCUAAUACCGAGUAAGCUCCUUAGGUCGCAUGACCCGGGGAGGAAAGAUGGCGUAAGCUAUCGGAGAAGGAUGGACCCGCGUCUGAUUAGGUAGUUGGUGAGGUAACGGCUCACCAAGCCGACGAUCAGUAGCCGGCCUGAGAGGGUGGCCGGCCACAUUGGGACUGGAGACACGGCCCAAACUCCUACGGGAGGCUG
rnacentral:rRNA from 1 species